rnacentral:antisense_RNA from 1 species
CUUCAGCGAGCCCAGCCACAGGGGCUGUUCGGGGCUGUGGUCCUGGCCGUAGGUGGCGAUCAGGGCCUGCGCCUC